GUCAGUGUGUGUGUGUGUGUGUCAGUAUGUCUGUCUUUGUGUGUGUCAGGCAUACUGACACACACAGACAGACAUACUGACUCACACUGACAUA